ACAUACGACCAUAGACUCAAGAGAACUGGGCAUCCCGUCCGCUCUGCCAUACAUAACCUUGAGAUCGGUGGAUUAGUAGUUGGGUGGGUGACCACCAGCGAAUACCCACUGUUGUAUGUG
rnacentral:rRNA from 1 species